UACGUAGGGUGCGAGCGUUGUCCGGAAUUACUGGGCGUAAAGAGUUCGUAGGCGGUUUGUCGCGUCGUCUGUGAAAACCCAUCGCUCAACGAUGGGCCGGCAGGCGAUACGGGCAGACUUGAGUACUGCAGGGGAGACUGGAAUUCCUGGUGUAGCGGUGAAAUGCGCAGAUAUCAGGAGGAACACCGGUGGCGAAGGCGGGUCUCUGGACAGUUCCUGACGCUGAGGCACGAAGGCCAGGGGAGCAAACGGG
rnacentral:rRNA from 1 species